rnacentral:lncRNA from 1 species
UCGAAUGUUUAGCUCAGCUAAAAAUGGCGCCGGAGAAUAAGGCAGACGUUUUACUUGUUCCCAACCGAUUGUGUUUUUUGUUAGUUUAUUUGCGUUUUUUUGUAACUUAUUUUGUACAUAAUGUUGCCUCUACCGUCUCUUAUGACUGAAAAUAACUUCUGGACAUCAGGACUGUGAUUACCUACCACGGACUGGCAGAAUCCUUUGUUCCCUUUAACGAGUCUGACGAGCCCGAUGCGACAAAAAAUAUACUGCUUUCUCGGGAACAGGCCCAGAUCCCGGUGAUUUGCGUGAAGAGGAGGCGGAGAAAAAGGGGCCAAAGGGCGGGCUGCCUUCUGAGAAUUCGUAGGUGAUCGAAUAAAUUCUCACUUCCUUCCAUUCUGCUAGCAAACGUGCAAUCUUUGUAGAAUAAAAUAGAUAACCUACGCGCAAGAUUAAACUACCAACGGGACAUUCAAAACUGUAAUAUGUUAUGCUUCACGGAGUCGUGGCUGAACGACGACACUAUCAACAUACAGCUGGCUGGUUAUACGCUGUACCGGCAGGAUAGAACAGCGGCAUCUGAAACAGUCAUCCUAGAAGUGGAGGGAGCACAGAUGAGAAGUUGCGUUGGGUUUCCAAUUCUGUCUCCUGACAUUGACCAUCCACUGCUGCAGCCUGGCUUCGUUACCCAAAGGGAAACUGUAAGGUAAAGAUAAAGGUUUAGAAAUGUAGCCUGUGUUCAUUACUAAACAAGGGAGUAAUUCCUAAAUCUUUACACGUUGUCCCUUUAUCACUAAUACAUUGAUUGUAGUUUGUGCAUUUACCAUUUUACUAUAUUUAUUUCCCUUGUUUAGAAGCUUAUUUUGUUUCCAUAGUCUGUAAUGUAUUCUAGAAAAUACACCUUAAAGACUCCAUACCAAAUAAUAUGACAUAAUGGGUUCAGAUACAAUAAAAGUUGUUUUGGAGUGUUUGUAAG